rnacentral:rRNA from 2 species
GGUCCCCGCCAUAGCUAUCGGGCAACGCCCGAUCCCGUCAGAUCUCGGAAGCUAAGCCGAUAGCGCCGUGGAGAGUACUGGGGUCUGCGGCCCCGGGAAAUCCCGGUGCGGGGACCC